AACGGAGAAGAUGAAGAGAAGGAAGAAGGAGUGGAGUAAUCACUAUAGUAACUUUGCCGUUUAUUACUCCUAGCAUUUUUUUCUUCACUUUCUACUCCUGUCCAGUGAGAUUUAAAAAAGAACAAGGGAUAGAAGACACAGCAAUUAAUGA
rnacentral:ribozyme from 14 species